rnacentral:lncRNA from 1 species
UAUUUGUUUAUUCUUUUCCUGAUUCUCUAUGCUUUCAUCUAUGAGGAAGAAACCCAAGAUUUUUGGGGGGUUUCAGACUACUUGUGUGUGAGUAUUUUGCUUCCUGUUUAAUUUCAAAACCCUACUACUCUAAAACUCAUCUCUGCUUUGAAAGACCUCUUGAUUUCUCGCACAUCUAUGUUCUUCUACUUUGCAUGACUACUCUGCUUAUUUUUAACCUUGCAGGUUUAAGUUUAUUCUCCAUUUUACAGUCAAAUAUUUCUUUCUCUGAACAACCCUAAUUUUUGGGGAUUGAUUUUAUGUGAACUUACUUGAAUCUCUCCUUGUCUGAUUUGGACCUAUAUUCUGACUUAAUGCAUUACUGAGUUCGAAUCCCUGAUUCUUGAUUAAUUGAUUUUACCUUAACCUUAUUUAUCUAACCGUGUAUUUUUUAAAGCUAUUCCUAUGUAUUUACCCCUUAUUGCACCAUGUCUUACUGAUUUUUCUUUCCUUAAAUGUCACUCUGUCCUCUCUAUUCAAAUUUGAAUUCCAUAAUUAAAGGAACUCCCCUCUCUAAUUGAUUCUGAUUGGUAUUGAAUUAUGUUUUUGCCUUACUUAUCACUUGUCUUCAAACUAUAAAUACUCUACUCGUUCUCUUCAAAACAGACACGAACAAUUUUCAUAAGUUCAUACUAAAAACUCUCUCUUCUCUUCUCUAUUCUGCUCUGCUACUUGUUGUACUACUUGUGUUAGCCGGCUGAAGGCCAAGACUAACUAUAAGAUCCUAUUUGUUCUGUUUGCAUUACUGUUUGAAACUUGCAACUGGUAGGUUCCAUGAUUUAAAUACCACCUCCAAACUAUGUGUUUACUUAUGCUUUUCAUAUAUCUGUUUAUGCUCUGUUUCCCUACAUCAUGCAAUUGAACCGCAACAUGUCUACUUACCCUUUCCCCAUGUGUUUAUGUUCAAUAUGUGGAUAAAUUUUAGCAUGCACAUCCCUACUCCUUAUUCCUCAUGUUUUUGAUGCUGUGUGUGUGUGUGUGAUUAUCUUCCUACACACCCCUCCCCAAAACCCCUAUAGUUUAACUAUGUUCUGUUUUUUUGUGUAAAUGCUUUCAUAUCUGAUCCCUUUCCCCGACCCCUUUGUAUGUGAGCAUUUUUUUGGACUAGAGUGGUACCCUAUUGCCACCUCUAGUUCAGAACCAGGUUUUUCUCAACCUAUACUCAAAGUAAUACCCUUCCCUUAACCCCCCAUUAUGUGUUGAGCUUUGACUCACGUCUGUUGGUGGCCUAAUCACCAUACAGGCCUAAGUCUGACUUAUUUCAAGUUUGCUCUUACUUGUUAAACCAUGUAAAGGGCCAGGGGUGUGCCAGUCCCCUUAAUGGCUAGGUAUGACCACCUUUGCAUUGGUUAUCCUCUAAUCCUUCACCUGCACACUCAUUCUUAGUCUGUUACGUUCUGCCCCCCUUUGGUAAGCCAUGCCUUGGGACCUUUGAGCUCCCUCUGAUCUCGGAGGCCUUAGGGCUGGUACUUCCAUACUGCAUUAUUCUGUUUAGGUGUUAAUCACUCUCGGGAAUCCUUGAGAUUCCUUGGAACUCUGAAAACACCUUGAGUAUUAGAAGGCCUUGCAAUCUGGAAUUUGGAUUUGGUAAAAUGCAUGGGUUGGAGAUUAAGGUUGCUUCGAGACUCCCUGGGCCUGUUAUAGUUCUGAUGUAUUUAUUUAGUUUCUUAAAGUCCUUUCUUUCAAGCUUUGUAAUAAUUGUGUAAAAGACUUGGGGAUAUUAGUGAAAGGGUGUUGGAAAGGCUUUACUAUUUCCGCACAUGUCAAAGUUAGAAACAAUUUUUAUAGGAUUCUGUGCUCACAUCAUUUAGAAAGCAUGCAUAUAGGACUUGCAUAUUUUUGUAAUUAAAUGCAUAUAGAAAUCCUGCCUAUAGGACUUGCACAUCUUCAUGAUCAAAUGUAUAUAGAAAUCAUGCCUAUAGGACUUGCAUAUUUUUG